rnacentral:rRNA from 1 species
UACGUAGGGUGCGAGCGUUGUCCGGAAUUACUGGGCGUAAAGAGCUCGUAAGUGGUUUGUCGCGUUGUUCGUGAAAACUCACAGCUUAACUGUGGGCGUGCGGGCGAUACGGGCAGACUGGAGUACUGCAGGGGAGACUGGAAUUCCUGGUGUAGCGGUGGAAUGCGCAGAUAUCAGGAGGAACACCGGUGGCGAAGGCGGGUCUCUGGGCAGUAACUGACGCUGGAGGAGCGAAAAGCCGUGGGGGAGCGAACAGG